rnacentral:sRNA from 1 species
UACUUGGAUGGGUGACCGCCUGGGAAC